rfam:Vigna radiata var. radiata cultivar VC1973A chromosome 8, whole genome shotgun sequence
AUUAUAGUGGAGCAGCGGAAGCGUGGUGGAUCCAUAAUCCACAGGUCCCAGGAUCGAAACCUUGCUAUGAUA